AAACAUAUUCACUAUGAAGAUGAAAACAGCCGCUACAUAACCAUUGGAUGUGUGGAGAAGGUGCUAUGCAUGUUGGCUUGCUGGGUCGAAGACCCUGGCGGCCAUUAUUUCAAGAAACACCUUGCUAGGAUUCCAGAUUAUCUUUCGGUUGCUGAGGAUGGAAUGAAAAUGCAGGGUUUUGGAAGCCAGCAGUGGGAUACUUGAUUUGGAAUUCAGGCACUGAUUGCUACUAAUUUCACACAAGAAAUUGGAGACGUGUUAAAGAGAGGCCAUAACUUCAUAAAGGAAUCUCAAGUGAAGGAGAAUCCUUCAGGCGACUUCAAGAGCAUGCACAGGCAUAUUUCAAAGGGAUCAUGGACUUUCUCUGACCAAGAUCAAGAAUGGCAAGUUUCUGACUGCACUGCCGAAGGACUUAAGUGUUGCCUUCUUUUCUCAAUGAUGCCGCCAGAGAUUGUUGGUGACAAAAUGGAGCCUCAACAGUUGUACGAUGCUGUCAAUAUCCUUCUUUCUCUGCAGGUUCCCGUCAAUCUCUUCCUCUUUCUAUGAUAUAUAUAUAUAUAUAUAUAUAUAUAUAUAUAUGAUGUAUAUAUUUAUUUUUGAACAAAUUCAUUAAUUCAUUGAUGCAGAGUAAAAAUGGAGGCUUAGCAGCAUGGGAGCCUGCUGGGGCUCAAGAAUGGUUAGAAGUGAGUGACUUUUUUUUCCUUUUUUUUUAAUGUUUUUUAGCGUUUUAAUUCAAUGACCAAUGGGCGCAACUAUAUUAAUCAAUUCAUGUAAUUUUGUCCUGGAUGACUGCAAAUUUUCAGAUAUUAAAUCCUACAGAAUUUUUCGCUGACAUUGUGAUUGAGCAUGAAUAUGUGGCGUGCACUUCAUCCGCAAUCCACGCCGAGGAGAAAGCUACCUUUCAUGCCCUCAGAAAGUACGAUACAAUUAUAUGAUUUUAAUUAAUUUGGUGUCAAAAGUCAAGAAAACAAGUGGCUAAACGUAAGUUGCUGUGCAGAAAUAUGUAGCUCUGGAAGGAAAGCGAUCAAAUUUGGUACAUACAGCUUGGGCAAUGACUUGGGCAAUGAUGGGUCUGAUGGGACUGCGCGAAUCACCCAACCCCGAAUUAGUAUGAUAUUGUCCGUUUUGAGCAAGCCUUCAUGGUUUUAUUUUUGGGCACCUUCCAAAAGGUUUUAUACUAAUAAGUUGGGUUUGAACCAUUAUAUUUUGGUUUCACUUUUCACAUUUUUCCGAUGCGGGACUUGAGAGGAUAUCCCAACAGGGUCUAAUCAGCGCAGGACAGGUGAGUGGUCUGAAAUGACUAUAUAUGUAUUACAGCCUGGUUUUAUUGUAUGUCGUGUAAUUGUGAUGGAUAUAAUCAUUAUUGAAGCAGAUGGAUAGAGACCCUACACCUCUUCACCGAGCUGCAACGCUGAUAAUUAAUUCCCAAUUGGAAGAUGGAGAUUUUCCUCAACAGGUAUAUAUCUAUAGGGAGGAUCACUUUAAACAGUUAUGUUUAUUUGAUUUCUAUUUAUGUUGUGUGAUUUCUAUUUCCUCAACAGGAAAUCACAGGGGUGUUCAUGAAGAACUGCAUGUUACACUAUGCAGCAUACAGGAACAUCUAUCCAUUAUGGGCUCUGGCAGAAUACAGAAACCGAGUUCCAUUGCCUUCAACACCCAUCUAAUUAGAAUUAAUUCCUUCACUCUCACAUCAUGUGAUACUAUGUACUGAAAGUUUCUGUAUUUCCAGAAAUAUAUAUAUACACACACUAAUUAAUCCUGCUAUUAAAUGAAAAACUAAGUAAUGUGAAAGGUUAAAAAAUUUUGAUUGGACUCUACUAGAAAUAUGAUGAUGGUAGGAUGACUCCAUGUCCCCAUUAAAUCAGAGUUCAAAAGGUUGAGGAAGUCACUUUCCUUCAGCUGCAUCGAAAUGUAUAUACAUCGCACGUAGAAGAAAAUAAAUGAAUUUAAAAGAAAAAAAAUAAUAUUCAAUUAGUUUGAAAUUAAAAAUUUCAGUCUUGGACAAAAAUUGAUAUUGACAUGCAGCUGCAAAUAGAUUUAGAAAGAAAGAAAGAAACUGACUUUAUUUUUAUUUUCUUUUUUCUGUCGUCGAUCGAACCAUGAAGAAUUUUACAUUAUGCCAAUUUUUGUACCCAAAUAACAAAUAAAAUAUUCUUAGUAACUACAUAUAUAUAUUUUCUUUUAUUACGUGUUAAAGAGGAAAAUGGUAAAUUGAUAUAUACAGAUAUCUACCAACUAAUAUAUGGACGGACCCCUAGUUAGACAAUAAUUACAAUGAGUUGAAAUCCAAUCAAUUGAUUAGAAGAAAGUAUUUUACUUGCUAUUGUUAAUAGUAAAAAUAAAAGUGAACAAUAGGUCUUCUUUGGCCAUAAAAAGGAGGGUGAGCUUGUUGAUCUUGUCGGUACAGAGCUCUCUACUCUUCUAUUACUUUCUUGAAAACCAUUUUACCUAUAUAUGUUGUUCAUAGGUUGCUUCUGUGAAGGAAGUACCAGAGCGAAGAGAUUGAUUUGAUCACUGUUCGAAAGGCUUAAUUUCUCAUAAUAUUGAUUGUUAUAUAGGAAGAACCAUCUGCUAGAAACAGGUACGUUGAAGAUAAUAUAAUAUGAGUACAGUGUUCCUGCACAAUUCAUAUAAUUAAUUAAUAAGAAUCACAGAUUGUAUUUGAGAAAGAAAGAUAGAGAAGAAUGUGGAGGCUAAAGAUAGCAGAAGGUGGCAACGAGCCAUACUUAUACAGCACUAACAACUACGUAGGAAGGCAAAUAUGGGAGUUCGAUCCUGAUGCAGGGACUCCUGAGGAGCGUGCUGCGGUGGAACAAGUUCGUCAAAAUUUCUACAACAACCGGCAUCAGGUCAAGCCCAGCAGUGACCUUCUCUGGCGUAUGCAGGUGGGUUUUUUUUCUUUUACUUGUUUAUUUUUUUAACAUACAGAUAACAUAUGCAUGUAAUGUUUGCUUGUUCUUGUUUGGAGAAGAGAAUUGGCUUAUUUAAACCCGGUCUAUCCAUGAGUAGAUGCACAAAUUUAGUCCAAUAUUGACAACAUCAUUAUUCCAUAUUGGUGUUGAGAAUUUAGGACCUACCAUCAAAUUAAUUAAAGUAUUAGUAAUUUAUUUAAUAAACUUAUUUUUAACACAAAAUAGUCUAAUUUAUUUUGAUUGAUUACCUUUUUAAUUAUAUGUCGUUUAUUUAAUUUAUAUUUAUUGAAACGCGUCAUCAGUUAUUUUAAAGAAGCUCUCUCCAUAGAAUCAAAUAUCACUGCUUUUCUUUUUUUUAUAUAUAUAUAUAUGAGUUACGGGUACCCCCGACCUAUUAUGAGGAAUUGACUAAAUCAGGAUAAGGAUUUAGUAAAUAUCAUCAAUUUUCGGCGGCUAUUUCUAGGCGGUAAAAUUACAGAAGUAGCCUUUUAAUUACAUAAAUGUCCAAUAUUGAGUUUUUUUUUUUCUUUGAAAUGAAAAUAGUUCUUAUUUUGUCGGCUAUUUCUUAGUUUGUCGUUACGCUCUGGCGAUAAACAUAGACAGAAAUUGAUAAAAAUAGUUCUCUUUGGGAUGGAGUUGAAAUUUGAGUAGAAAGUUACAAAAAGAAAGAAAAACGAAAAAGAUUUGGUUUGGGUUCGUUAGGUGGAGAAGCAAGUCGAAUCCGCAUUCCCUUCCGUUUUCCACUGCUCUCUCUGCUCCGUCAUUUCCAACAAACUUGCGCGCUUCAUGGGCCCACUCGUUUUUUUAUUCUACUACAGAAUUUUUUUUUUUUAUUUCAGAAAUUUAAGCUAAUAUCUUCUGGUAAAAUUAUAGUUGAGAAUUGAGAUUUUUUGUAUCCACAUAUAAAUGUUUAAAUCUAAUUUUUUUAAUCAUUUGUCUUUAAAGUGAAAUUGAUUUUACAUAUUUUCAUUAGAGAUUGUAUAAUUCUAAGGUUUUUGACUAUUUAAUUCUUAAUAUUCAUACAAAUAGCAAUAUAUAUAUAUUUGAAUAAACAAUAAAUAAAUUUAAACUUAUAUGUGUGCUUUUAAGAUAAAAAAGAAAUUAUUUAAAAAAAAUGUAAAAGAAAGAGUAAGAUAAUAAAAAAUCUAUUUAAUAGAUAAUUAAUAUUAUAAUAAAUUGAGAUAAUCACAUAUCACUCAAAUAGAGUUCUGUUUCAAUACAAAAUUAGUAAUUCUAAACUGUACUAAAAGCCAAUAUCUCCGAUACUGUUUCUAAUAUGAUCUGCAAAUUGGGUCCAGUUUCUCAAGGAGAAGAACUUUAAGCAAACGAUACCCGCAGUGAAAAUAGAAGAGGGCGAACAGAUCACAUACGACAAGGCAACAGCAGCUUUGAGAAGGGCAGUCCAGUUCUUUUCGGCACUGCAGGCCAGUGAUGGUCAUUGGCCUGCUGAAAAUGCUGGGCCCUUGUUCUUCCUCCCUCCACUGGUUAUGUGCGUUUACAUAACGGGACAUUUGGACACCGUCUUCCCACCGGAGCAUCGCAAGGAAAUCCUUCGCUACAUAUACUACCAUCAGAAUCAAGAUGGUGGGUGGGGCCUGCACAUUGAAGGCCACAGCACCAUGUUCUGCACUGUUCUCAGCUACAUCUGUAUGCGUAUUCUUGGAGUUGGACCUGAUGGCGGUCAGGAUAAUGCCUGUGCCAGAGCCAGAACCUGGAUUCAUGACCACGGCGGCGUCACUUACAUACCCUCCUGGGGCAAGACUUGGCUCUCGGUACGUAAUAUAUUUCUAUCCAUCCAUCCAUCAUUCAUCAUCUCUUCUACAGUAUAUAUGUAUAUAUAAUCACAUGCUUGCUUUAAUUCACAGAUACUUGGUGUGUACGACUGGUCUGGAAGCAACCCAAUGCCUCCAGAAUUUUGGCUACUUCCUUCAUUCCUUCCAAUUUGUCCAGCGAAAAUGUGGUGCUACUGCCGGAUGGUUUACAUGCCAAUGUCUUAUUUGUAUGGGAAGAGGUUUGUUGGGCCAAUUACGCCUCUCAUUCUUGAAUUGAGACGAGAACUCCACACUCAACCUUAUCAUCAAAUCAAUUGGAAGAAAACACGCCACCUUUGUGCCCAAGUGAGCUAAUUAAUUUCCUCUUUCAAUUAAAUCAUUUAAUCAAUUAAACAUUAGCAUGAAAUUGCAAAUACAAAAUAAAUAAAUAAAUUGAAAAUUGAAACUGCAGGAGGACCUGUACUAUCCGCAUCCUUUGCUGCAAGACAUAAUGUGGGACACUCUUUACUUGUUCACGGAGCCUCUUCUGACUCGUUGGCCCUUUAGCAGCUUUAUCAGAAACAAAGCUCUUCAAGUCACCAUGAAACAUAUUCACUAUGAAGAUGAAAACAGCCGCUACAUAACCAUUGGAUGUGUGGAGAAGGUGCUAUGCAUGUUGGCUUGCUGGGUCGAAGACCCUGACGGCGAUUAUUUCAAGAAACACCUUGCUAGGAUUCCAGAUUAUCUUUGGGUUGCUGAGGAUGGAAUGAAAAUGCAGAGUUUUGGAAGCCAGCAGUGGGAUACUGGAUUUGCAAUUCAGGCACUGAUUGCUACUAAUUUUACACA
rnacentral:lncRNA from 1 species